rnacentral:tRNA from 1 species
GCCAGUUUAGCUCAGUUGGUAGAGCGCGUGGCUUUUACGGGCUCACCUCCUCAGGUGAUGCUGCUCAGUGCACCACGUGGUCCAGGGUUCGAGCCCCUGAACGGGCG